AGAUUGUGUUGAGGACAACUUCUAAGCAAGCCCUUGUUUCUCUCCCACACAUCAUAUAAGGACUUGGAAACCUCUUGUUGAAAAUUAGCAAUCUUUUUCUUGAGCUU